UGCCAGCCGCCGCGGUAAUACGGAGGGGGUUAGCGUUGUUCGGAAUUACUGGGCGUAAAGCGCGCGUAGGCGGACUAGUCAGUCAGAGGUGAAAUCCCAGGGCUCAACCCUGGAACUGCCUUUGAUACUGCUAGUCUUGAGUUCGAGAGAGGUAAGUGGAAUUCCGAGUAUAGAGGUGAAAUUCGUAGAUAUCGGGAGGAACAUCAGUGGCGAAGGCGGCUUCCUGGACAAUGACUGACGCUGAGGCUCGAAAGCGUGGGGAGCAAACAGGAUUAGAUA
rnacentral:rRNA from 1 species